GAUGAUAUCAGGUACCCAGAUGAUUAUUCUGAUAGAAUUUGGGAAAAACUCGACAACAAUACAGUUUUGAUAUCACCAGAUCCGACACCAGCUACAUCCAACAUCCUUAAUGAUAGCACAACAGUGCCUCUUAAAGUUCUCCAAACAGCACUAACACAUACAGACAGAUUGGAGUUCCUACACAGGAGCCUUGAUGCAGAAGACCACAACUAC
rnacentral:misc_RNA from 1 species